UACGUAGGGGGCAAGCGUUGUCCGGAAUCAUUGGGCGUAAAGCGCGUGUAGGCGGCUCGAUAAGUCUGCUGUGAAAGUCCAGGGCUCAACCCUGGGAUGCCGGUGGAUACUGUCGAGCUCGAGUCCGGAAGAGGCGAGUGGAAUUCCUGGUGUAGCGGUGGAAUGCGCAGAUAUCAGGAGGAACACCAAUAGCGAAGGCAGCUCGCUGGGACGUUACUGACACUGAGGCGCGAAAGCGUGGGGAGCGAACAGG
rnacentral:rRNA from 1 species